GAAAACAAGGAGCAAGAAUAAAUUAUGAGGUUGCUCAAUGAAGAGACAUCACAGGAGAGUCCUUUGGAAAUGAGUGCUAGUCCUGGGCUGUUCUACAUCUUCAUAAUCACUUGUAAGGGGCACAGGAUUGUUGGCACCUGACUCAGGGUGGUUGCUGCUGGCAGGAGGUGGGUACAGCCAGGAAGGUGAAAGGAGCAGGUCGCCUUUCCUCAGAGCUCUGCAGGUCCAAGCAGGCAGCAAAGAGCUAAAAGUAAAAUUCAAAAUUGAAAUAUCUUUUGAGCAAUACUUUGAAGUACAGUGUAGCUCCCAGAGGUGGGUAAUCUUCAUGCUAAUUUACUAUACAACAAUGU